rnacentral:rRNA from 1 species
GGAUUUUUCACCGAGCUGUACAGUGGCACAUGGCCAGGGCGCGCCCAAAGCCGCCGUCCACACUUACCCGCGUCCUUAUAACCGCCCCUCGGCGUCCGCGCGACGGUUUCUACCGCCCGCCGCCACCAGGGUUUUCUUCCCCCCUCGCCUUCUUCCUCCUCCUCCCCACGCAAUCCACGGAGGAACCGAGAGCGCGUAGGAGCGCAGCCAUGGCGUGACCGUGUCCAAGAUUCUUCCCCGUCACCGGCUCCGUGUCCAGGAGCUCCGCCGUCCACGUCUUCCUCGCCUACGUCCAGGAGGCCGCUCCCGAACGACUACAGCCACCACUCCUUCCUCUUCGGCCGCCGCCACGUCGUCGUCAAAGUCCUCCGCCUCCGUCCGCUACUCGACCGACGGAUCACACCUCCGUGGUCCUGGUGAGCUCCUCUUCCUCCCCAACUCUUUCCCCUCUCGAUAGCGUUCUCUGACAUCGAGUUCGUUCGACGAUCUCAAGAAGCCGCCGCCGCGCGGCAUGGUCACCGGCGUCGCUCCGGUGACCCUCUGCACGCCCCCUUUGUGCCGCGCGCACCGCAUGUCGUAGUAGAACCUUCCGCCGCCUUUUGUUUCGUCCUUAGCGAGCUCCUACGCCACGGACCUCGCCGCCGGCGUCGAAUCCGUCGGUCCCCGGCCACACCGCGUGCACCGCUAGAUGCGCGGCUUCGUGCUCUUCUGUUCGCACACAGCGCCGCGCCCUUUUGGUUGUCGGAACCCACUCCAGUGAGGUCUCCGCCGCUAUGGAAGGUCACCGCCGGCAGAUGGAUCAUGAGCUCGAUACCCAUCCGAACCAGAGGGGAAUAAGAGCCUCCUUUUAUUUUGCAUCCUCUCCGAAUCUUGCUCCUAUCGUAACUCGAGCUUCUUGCCUGCAAUCGAAUUUAUUAUUUCGCUGAAGCCUUUAUUCAAUUGCAUUUUCAGGCUGCUGAACAUGAUGGAUGAUGAUUUAUUCAAGUUGGACACUGAGCUUUUGGGGGUUUAUUCCGAAGAUGCAACCAAUGAUGACAAGCCCCUGGAGGAUGAACCUCAGAAUGAGCGGACAUGUGAUGAUGAUUUCAAGCACCUGUCACAGAAUGCAGAAGAUCAUGUGCCAGCCUUUGACGAACUUGAUGAAGAUAAUCUGAUGGGGCAGUUAUUUGCCGAGAACCCCCUGGAGCUGGCUAACUAUGCAAAGAAUCACGUGCCAAUGUAUGAUGAACAUGAUGAAGAUGUUCUGACGGGACAAUUAUUCGCUGAGAAUCCCCAGGAGCUGGCUCGGUAUACAGAGAAUCAUGUCCCAAUGUAUGAUAACCAUGGUAUGUAUAAACUCUUUAGUUUGAGGAUGGAUCUGGUCUGAAAUCAUUGUCUUGGGUCGACACCUUCCAACUUUUAAAUUGUUAAGUAUACAUUACUCAUUGUUGUCUGAAAGAAAAGGAGUGACUGAGAUAUAUCUACUAUAUCUAAAUAGCUAGCCCCCACUACAAAUAAUUCUCUCCCUUCUCCUUGUGCCACAUCAUCCAAAUUAAUUUAGCCAUUGGAUACACAAGAUCAGUCUACAAUAGCCAUUGGAUCUACAGGUUGAGAGCUCCUCCACCAAGCGCAUGCAGUAACGGAAGCAUGCAUGCAAAACGUGUAAUGUUUGUUUUAACCCAAAAGAAAUCUGAUGCAUGCGUGCUUGCAACUCA